rnacentral:misc_RNA from 1 species
GUUGCUAGCUGCUAUGGUUUUCUUUUGUUAUUUACCAAGAGAGGGAGAUAGAUGUUAAGAAGCAACGAAUAAUGUUUCUCUUGUUGUAAGAAGAGCCAGAGAUGCCUCUCCUCAGAAUGUUGCUAGCUGCUAUGGUUUUCUUUUGUUAUUUACCAAGAGAGGGAGAUAGAUGUUAAGAAGCAACGAAUAAUGUUUCUCUUGUUGUAAGAAGAGCCAGAGAUGCCUCUCCUCAGAAUGUUGCUACUUCAUUUACAUUAAACAGUAUGUUAAACACAUU